UACGUACUGAGUUAGCUGAAGGUACGGAGAACUUUGCAUUAUGCAAUACUUCUUAACUGUUCAGCGCUGUGGUUUGUUGCAUCACUAGGGUCUGUGGUGCCACUCUUCUCUCAGCACUUACCAAAAAUAAAUCAGGCUGAAAGCUCAGUUGCUUCUGCUUGGACCCAAGGAACCCGAUACUCGUCAGAAGGACCACUUAGUGGUGUGGAAGGAGCUCUUGCCCUUUGUCCAAGCAUCAUGUUGCAAGGAGACGUGUUCAAGCUCCCCCAGUAACAAUCCUGAUGGGGAAUAAUGGAACCCAAGGCGAAGAGCACGCGGGCAUCCUGCAACACCUGCGGGUCACCCACGUACCAACACACCCGGGGACAGAUUCUGUGCCGGUGUAACACAGCUCCUGAGGAGGUGGCCCGGUGCCUGCGGAGCGAGGAGUCUUGGCUGCAGAGCCCGGCUCUCCUUGUGCAGUGCUGCGUGGCGCCGGCAGCCUGAGCGAGAGGGAGCUCCAGUCCCACACAACCGCUCCGAGCAGCCCCCAUUUGCCAUAGCGGCUGGUGCCGGGGGGGAGCUGUGAGGGGAGGGGGGGGGGGGGACCGGAGGGGAAAGAAGGGGGAAAAUAAAAUAAAA
rnacentral:lncRNA from 1 species